rnacentral:rRNA from 1 species
CUGGUCUUGACAUAGUAAGAACUUUCCAGAGAUGGAUUGGUGCCUUCGGGAACCGUGAGACAGGUGCUGCAUGGCUGUCGUCAGCUCGUGUUGUGAAAUGUUGGGUUAAGUCCCGCAACGAGCGCAACCCUUGUCAUUAGUUGCUACGCAAGAGCACUCUAGAGAGACUGCCGGUGACAAACCGGAGGAAGGUGGGGAUGACGCCAAGUCCUCAUGGCCCUUAUGGGUAGGGCUUCACACGUCAUACAAUGGUGCGUACAGAGGGUUGCCAACCCGCGAGGGGGAGCUAAUCCCAGAAAACGCAUCGUAGUCCGGAUCGUAGUCUGCAACUCGACUACGUGAAGCUGGAAUCGCUAGUAAUCGCGGAUCAGCAUGCCGCGGUGAAUACGUUCCC